rnacentral:lncRNA from 1 species
AUUAUAGAAAUUUUGUGAAUCUAGAUUGGUUGGUAUGAAGUUUGUUAUUCUUGGUGUUGGAUGGCAUUUAUGAAUUUUGAGCAGUUUUUUAAGAGUGCAAGGUUUCACAAUAUUUUUAUCAGUUGAUGAAGGAGUAUUGUUACUGGAAGGAAGCAUUGUAGUAUCUCUUGGUAUUUUAGUGGUUCGGAAUACAGUUAAUCGUGUGAUCCUAAUAAAUAAAGCU